UGUGCCUAAAAUAUUGUGAUUUUUAUCUUUACAGGACUCAAGUAGAAGAUCAGUUAAGCUGAACAGACCAGAAUAUCACAUACCAGCAAACAGUCUGGUCGGUGGCUCUGUUUCUCCAAACAGAGAGCCAGAAAACUCAGAGAAGGAUUAUAUUGAGAAACUUGAAAUCCUUUCUCAGGCUCCACCCAAUUCUGUGAUUUGUGCUCGUCCCUCUCAGAUUGGGGAGAGAUCGGACAGUGAAUGUUCAGAAAAAUUAUCACCAGACUCAAUGUAAGUUAUAAUGUUACCUGCCCAGUUCUUUCUUUAAUCCUUUUAAUGGAAACCCCAAUCCUCAAUC